GAUGAACGCUGGCGGCGUGCCUGAUAUAUGCAAGUCGAGCGAACGGACGAGAAGCUUGCUUCUCUGAUGUUAGCGGCGGACGGGUGAGUAACACGUGGAUAACCUACCUAUAAGACUGGGAUAACUUCGGGAAACCGGAGCUAAUACCGGAUAAUAUUUUGAACCGCAUGGUUCAAAAGUGAAAGACGGUCUUGCUGUCACUUAUAGAUGGAUCCGCGCUGCAUUAGCUAGUUGGUAAGGUAACGGCUUACCAAGGCAACGAUGCAUAGCCGACCUGAGAGGGUGAUCGGCCACACUGGAACUGAGACACGGUCCAGACUCCUACGGGAGGCAGCAGUAGGGAAUCUUCCGCAAUGGGCGAAAGCCUGACGGAGCAACGCCGCGUGAGUGAUGAAGGUCUUCGGAUCGUAAAACUCUGUUAUUAGGGAAGAACAUAUGUGUAAGUAACUGUGCACAUCUUGACGGUACCUAAUCAGAAAGCCACGGCUAACUACGUG
rnacentral:rRNA from 1 species